CCAUCCCCCAUCCCCCAUCCCCCAUGGCAGGAGAAACAGUCAAGUUUUUCCUGCCCAUCACUCAAUGGCUCAAUCGCAUCGCUCUCCCGGCAACACCGUAACGAGGAGCAACUUGCCGUUUGGAUAUAUCCUAGCUGUGUUUGUGCCCUCACUCAUGGUCCAGACUUUUUUCAAAUAGGACAUGUAGUUUGUCUGCAGCGAGUGUUUUGGUAGAAACUGCGCCUCCCAUUCAUUAUAAUGGGAAAUGACCACAGACAAGUGCGCACACCAUCUUUGGACCUUGAGUGUGACACGAUCGGGAGGGGGAGGCGGUCGCACUGGGGGCGGCGCAACGUGGCUCGGGCCCGCCAGUGCCCCAACGGGGCCCUAGUUAGGGCCCGAGCGUAGCUGCUAAGCAGCUGCGAGAGCCCUAUUAUUCCCCAAGUGGUUUUUCUUUGUUUCUUUAGGGCCCGAGCGUAGCUGCUAAGCAGCUGCGAGAGCCCUCUUGUUCCUGCAUGUUUCCUUCUUUCGUUAUUAUUUUUCCUCCGCUUUAAACUGGAAAAUGGCCCACUUCCCACUGGCGAAAACUCAGGAAAUUUGGCAGGACGACCGGGCCUGGUGAAAAAUUCGAUAUUCUGAAGUCGCCCAAACAAUAAAAUGCAAAAUGGCUCCAUAGCGCCCCCUAAGGUGAAAAUUCACAUGACGGCUGUACGCUUUGUCAUAUUGACACAAAAAUUGACACACACAUGUAUCUCAAUAAGAUCUACAAAAAAGUCAGUGCGGGUGUAUCUGUCAAAUGUACGGUUAAUGGGUUAUUUUGCAUUUUUUGCAGAUCUGCACACAUUGGAAUUUCGCUAACUCCUCCGAAGGCUUUCGUUCGACCGGCACCACAUUUGCGCAGGCCAAUCUACCCCCCAUGGCCAUUAAAAGUUGUACAAAUCAUGACGCUGCACCCCACGGUUUACGUUCUAGGGGGCGCCAAAGAUAACCCAAAAUCCACAUUCUUAAAAGUCUUAUAACUUUUUAUUUUUGUCCUCACUGCCCUCCAAGUUUUCUAGGAUGAUGCAAUGUCCAGCCAUCAACACAUUUGUGAAGGAAUUUUUACUCCCCAAAAGAGCGCCCCCCCAUGGCAGGAGAAAAAAGUCCUUUUUUUCUUGUCCCCUUACAUGAAAAUACACAUUGUUGAGUGUCACGCCUGAACGCUUUGUCAUAUUGACACAAAAAUUGACAAUCAUGUGUAUCUCAAUUAGAUCUACGAAAAAGUCAAAAAGCGCGUAUCUGUAUAAUGUACGGUUAAAGGGCUAUUUCGCAUUUUUUGCCGAUUCGCACACUUUGGAAUGUGGCUAUCUCCUCCUAAGACUUUCGUCCCACCGAUACCAAAUUUGCUCAGGGCAAUCUACACCCCAUGCCCAUUCAAAGUUGUAAAAAUCAUGACGCUGCACCCCACGGUUUACGUUCUAGGGGGCGCCAAAGAUGACCCAAAAAUCCACAUUCUUAAAAGUCAUUUUGGCCACUGCAGGAGUACAGAGUACUGCAGUUCUAGGGGGCGCCAAAGAUGACCCAAAAAUCCACAUUCUUAAAAGUCUUUUUGGCCACUGCAGGAGUACAGAGUACUGCAGGAUACACACACAUACACACACACACACACACACACACACACACACACACACACACACACACACACACACACACUCAGAGUCUGUUUUUUAGCACCUGCAAAAACAUGCUGUUUACAUAUUUGACAAGAAUGCAGAGGCUUCCUUUUGCCCCUGAAAAAAAUCAGAUUUCAAACACAACUUGACUGUUCAUUUCUCCAAAAGACAACCAUGAAGCUCCAUCCAAACCUGAAGCAGAUAGUUGGUGCAUGUGUACAGUAACCUGAGGGGAGUGAGGUGACUAUUUCUGAGGAGAACAUGAGCAGUGAAGAUUCACCUUGGAGCUAGAACAGGGACGUGCACAUGAUUAUACAGGGGCAGGGGCUCAAGUUUUUUCCAGUCAUUUAUACAAUAUGGAAAUUAAUGUGAAAUUAAACCACAAAUAUGUGUGAUGAACUGUUUUUAAAACUUAAACUUCAAAUAAAAAUUGUAAACUUCAAAACAUAUGCAAAUUUUUAACAAAGAACAUAGUAAUUUACCUCUAUUUACAUCAAAAUGCAGGCAAUGGCCCAGGCGUUCUUUGUAAAAUUAUUUACAAAACACUGUAUAGUCUCACAAAUGUCACUUUUUAUUUAUGCCACUACAAAAAAACAUGAUGUAAAUGAUGCAUGAUGUAAAACAUGAUGUAAAAAACUUGUGUAGAUCCUCCUCUAUGUCAGUCCAUGUGUAAUUUUUCCAUAAUUCUUUGUUUUUUGCAGCAUUUUUGUUAGUGUAACUGCAGAUUGUGCUGACAGUCUAUGGCAAAAAAAACAAAAACUGAAAAUGCCUCAACAUGAACCCCUGGUGGUCUCUGAGGGUGAAACCUGCUAACUGCUGCAGCUCUGUCAGCUUCAGUCUCCCAUGCAGAGCUCGGAGCGCAUGUGUGGCUCUGCACCCUUAGCAGCGUUGCUAACUCCUCAGUAAGGAAAGCCUGCUUCAUGUCAGAGUCUCUAAACUCCAGAAGAAGUCGAUAAAAGUCCCUUUCUUUCAAAAAAGUCGUUAGGGGGUCUGAAAAGUAAUUGAAUCUAACAACAAAGUCGCUAGGUUUGCAACUACGUGUCCCAGACUGCAUCCCUGCUGAGAGUCCCUCCCUCCCUUCUCAUGUUGCAGGAAGAACGUAAGCGCCCGCCCCUUGUCAAUCAGUCACCAUAUAAUUUUGGAUUGGUUGUUGUGGUGAAGUUUUCCACCAAUAGGAGAGAUGUUGUGGUGUGUUUUUUUUUUCUUUUGGCAAGCCUUUUCCGCCUGUAAGACCUGUCGCUAAUGUGUGCAUGCUAUGUUUUCCUGUCUCAUACAGCGCGAUCGAGCGCCGAACGUGAUCAAAAUAAGCAGAAAAAAAGUAUCGCGGACAUAAUUUAUCAUAACUCUGGUUUUAUUUGGCCUAUCAACACAAUUUAAAAACUGGUAUAUAGGUUGAGGUCCUCACUUUUGAGAUAAAUUGAAACGGAGAGUUAACGAGGCUCCGUAUUGCAGCUACAUCCGGUUAAAUAUGUCAUGUGACUUGAACGCUGGGGAGCGUCAAUCGAAUCGAAUCAAACCUAACUCUCAGAUGAAUCUUCAAAAUUCACCUCAGAAAUAUGCUUAUUAUUCUUCUCAGAGUACUGCAGGAUACACACACACACACACACAGACACACACACGCACACACACACACACAGACACACACACACACACACACACACACACACACACACACACACACUCAGAGUCUGUUUUUUAGCACCUGCAAAAACAUGCUAUUUACAUAUUUGACAAGAAUGCAGAGGCUUCCUUUUGCCCCUGAAAAAAAUCAAAUUUCAAACACAACUUGACUGCUCAUUUCUCCAAAAGACAACCAUGAAGCUCCAUCCAAACCUGAAGCAGGCAGUUGGUGCAUGUGUACAGUAACCUGAGGGGAGUGAGGUGACUGCUUCUGAGGAGAACAUGAGCAGUGAAGAUUCACCUUGGAGCUAGAACAGGGACGUGCACAUGAUAAUACAUGGGCAGGGGCUCAAGUUUUUUCCAGUUGUUUAUACAAUAUGGAAAUUAAUGUGAAAUUAAAAAACAAAGUAUGACUGUCCUGUGUAGGUGACAGUGAUAUCCAAUAGGCUAGGCACUCACGAGGCUGGCUGUGGCAAGUGUAAGUGAAAGCAACACGCACUGGCAGGAAGAACAGCAAACGCCGAUGAAGAAAAAGGGUCUUUGCAGUGAUGGGCGUUACCAGAGAGGGCGAUGGCCAGAGGACACGAAUGGGACGGGGAGGCAGCGCGUUGGGGACGGGGGGGGGGGGGGGGGCGACGCGGCUCGGGCCCGCCAGUGCCCCAACGGGGCCCUAGUUUUUAGGGCCCGAGCGUAGCUGCUAAGCAGCUGCGAGAGCCCUCUUGUUCCUGCAUGUUUCCUUCUUUUGUUAUUAUUAUUAUUAUUAUUUUUCCUCCCCUUUGAACUGGAAAAUGGCCCACUUCCCACUGGCGAAAACUCAUGAAAUUUGGCAGGACGACCGGGCCUGGUGAAAAAUUUGAUAUUCCGAAGUCGCCCAAACAAGAAAAUGCAAAAUGGCUCCAUAGCGCCCCCUAAGGUGAAAAUUCACACUAUUGACUGUCACGCCUGUAUGUUUUGUCAAAAUGACACAAAAAUUGACACACACAUGUAUCUCAAUAAGAUCUACAAAAAAGUCAGUGCGGGCGUAUCUGUCAAAUGUACGGUUAAAGGGUUAUUUCGCAUUUUUUGCCGAUCCGCACACAUUGCAAUUUCGCUAACUCCUCCGAAGGCUUUCGUUCCACCGGCACCACAUUUGCUCAGGCCAAUCUACACCCCAUGGCCAUUAAAAGUUAUUCAAAUCAUGAUGCUGCACCCCACGGUUUAGGUUCUAGGGGGCGCCAAAGAUAACCCUAAGAUCCACAUAUUUAAAAGUCUUAUAACUUUUUAUUUUUGCCCUCACUGGCCUCCAAGUUUUCUAGGAUGAUGCAAUGUCCAGCCAUCAACACAUUUGUGAAGGAAUUUUUACUCCCCAAAAGAGCGCCCCCCCAUGGCAGGAGAAAAAAGUCCAUUUUUUCUUGUCCCCUAAGGUGAAAAUACACAUUGUUGAGUGUAACACCUGUACGCUUUGGCAAAAUGACACAAAAAUUGACACACACAUGUAUCUCAAUAAGAUCUACGAAAAAGUCAAUGCGCGCGUAUCUGUCAAAUGUACGGUUAAAGGGUUAUUCCGCAUUUUUUGCCGAUCCGCACACAUUGGAAUUUCGCUAACUCCUCCGAAGGCUUUCGUUCCACUGGCACCACAUUUGCUCAGGCCAAUCUACACCCCAUGGCCAUUAAAAGUUAUUCAAAUCAUGACGCUGCACCCCACGGUUUAGGUUCUAGGGGGCGCCAAAGAUAACCGUAAAAUCCACAUAUUUAAAAGUCUUAUAACUUUUUAUUUUUGUCCCCACUGGCCUCCAAGUUUUCUAGGAUGAUGCAAUGUCCAGCCAUCAACACAUUUGUGAAGGAAUUUUUACUCGCCAAAAGAGCGCCCCCCCAUGGCAGGAGAAAAAAGUCCAUUUUUUCUUGUCCACUAAGGUGAAAAUACACAUUGUUGAGUGCUACGCCUGUAUGUUUUGUCGUAUUGACACAAAAUUUUACAUACACGUGUAUUUCAAUAAGAUCUUCGAAAAAGCCAAUGGCCACGUAUCUGUAAAAUGUACGGUUAAAGGGUUAUUUCGCAUUUUUGGCAGAUUCGCACACAUUGGAAUUUCGCUAAAUCCUCCGAAGGCUUUCGUUCCACCGGCACCACAUUUGCUCAGGCCAAUCUACACCCCAUGGCCAUUAAAAGUUAUUCAAAUCAUGACGCUGCACCCCACGGUUUAGGUUCUAGGGGGCGCCAAAGAUAACCCUAAAAUCCACAUAUUUAAAAGUCUUAUAACUUUUUAUUUUUGUCCUCACUGGCCUCCAUGUUUUCUAGGAUGAUGCAAUGUCCAGCCAUCAACACAUUUGUGAAGGAGUUUUUUCUCGUUAAAAGAGCACCCCCCCAUGGCAGGAGAAUAAAGUCAAGUUUUUCCUGUUCAUCAUUCAAUGGCUCAAACGCACUGCUCUCUCGGCAAAAGCGAAAGGAGGAGCAACUUGCCAUUUGGAUAUAUCUUAGCUGUGUUUGUGCCCUCACUCAUGGUCCAGACUUUUUUCAAAUAGGACAUGGAGUUUUUCUGCAGCGAGCGUUUUGGUAGAAACUGCGCCUCCCGUUCAUUAUAAUGGUAAAUGACCACAAACAAGUGCGCACACCAUCUUUGGACCUUGAGUGUGACGCGAUUGGGUGGGGGAGGCGGUCGCGCUGAGGGCGGCGUGACAUGGCUCGGGCCCGCCAGUGCCCCAACGGGGCCCUAGUGUUAUUAUUAUUUUUCCUCCCCUUUGAACUGGAAAAUGGCCCACUUCCCACUGGCGAAAACUCAUGAAAUUUGGCAGGACGACCGGGCCUGGUGAAAAAUUUGAUAUUCCGAAGUCGCCCAAACAAGAAAAUGCAAAAUGGCUCCAUAGCGCCCCCUAAGGUGAAAAUUCACACUAUUGACUGUCACGCCUGUACGCUUUGUCAAAAUGACACAAAAAUUGACACACACAUGUAUCUCAAUAAGAUCUACAAAAAAGUCAGUGCGGGCGUAUCUGUCAAAUGUACGGUUAAAGGGUUAUUUCGCAUUUUUUGCCGAUCCGCACACAUUGGAAUUUCGCUAACUCCUCCGAAGGCUUUCGUUCCACCGGCACCACAUUUGCUCAGGCCAAUCUACACCCCAUGGCCAUUAAAAGUUAUUCAAAUCAUGACGCUGCACCCCACGGUUUAGGUUCUAGGGGGCGCCAAAGAUAACCCUAAGAUCCACAUAUUUAAAAGUCUUAUAACUUUUUAUUUUUGCCCUCACUGGCCUCCAAGUUUUCUAGGAUGAUGCAAUGUCCAGCCAUCAACACAUUUGUGAAGGAAUUUUUACUCCCCAAAAGAGCGCCCCCCCAUGGCAGGAGAAAAAAGUCCAUUUUUUCUUGUCCCCUAAGGUGAAAAUACACAUUGUUGAGUGUAACACCUGUACGCUUUGGCAAAAUGACACAAAAAUUGACACACACAUGUAUCUCAAUAAGAUCUACAAAAAAGUCAAUGCGCGCGUAUCUGUCAAAUGUACGGUUAAAGGGUUAUUCCGCAUUUUUUGCCGAUCCGCACACAUUGGAAUUUCGCUAACUCCUCCGAAGGCUUUCGUUCCACCGGCACCACAUUUGCUCAGGCCAAUCUACACCCCAUGGCCAUUAAAAGUUAUUCAAAUCAUGACGCUGCACCCCACGGUUUAGGUUCUAGGGGGCGCCAAAGAUAACCCUAAAAUCCACAUAUUUAAAAGUCUUAUAACUUUUUAUUUUUGUCCUCACUGGCCUCCAAGUUUUCUAGGAUGAUGCAAUGUCCAGCCAUCAACACAUUUGUGAAGGAAUUUUUACUCCCCAAAAGAGCGCCCCCCCAUGGCAGGAGAAAAAAGUCCAUUUUUUCUUGUCCCCUAAGGUGGAAAUUCACACUAUUGACUGUCACGCCUGUACGCUUUAUCAUAUUGACACAAAAAUUGACACACAUAUGUAUCUCAAUAAGAUCUACAAAAAAGUCAAUGCGCGCGUAUCUGUCAAAUGUACGGUUAAAGGGCUAUUUUGCAUUUUUUGCCGAUUCGCACACAUUGGAAUGUGGCUAACUCCUCCUAAGGCUUUCGUCCCACUGACACCAAAUUUGCUCAGGCCAAUCUACACCCCAUGGCCAUUCAAAGUUUUAAAAAUCAUGACGCUGCACCCCACGGUUUACGUUCUAGGGGGCGCCAAAGAUGACCCAAAUAUCCACAUUCUUAAAAGAAUCCACAUCCCUUUCCCCCCCCCCUCCCAUCCCCCAUCCCCCAUGGCAGGAGAAACAGUCAAGUUUUUCCUGCCCAUCACUCAAUGGCUCAAUCGCAUCGCUCUCCCGGCAACACCGUAACGAGGAGCAACUUGCCGUUUGGAUAUAUCCUAGCUGUGUUUGUGCCCUCACUCAUGGUCCAGACUUUUUUCAAAUAGGACAUGGAGUUUGUCUGCAGCGAGUGUUUUGGUAGAAACUGCGCCUCCCAUUCAUUAUAAUGGGAAAUGACCACAGACAAGUGCGCACACCAUCUUUGGACCUUGAGUGUGACGCGAUCGGGAGGGGGAGGCGGUCGCACUGGGGGCGGCGCAACGCGGCUCGGGC
rnacentral:lncRNA from 1 species